AUUGAACGCUGGCGGCAGGCCUAACACAUGCAAGUCGAGCGAGCGGCGGACGGGUGAGUAAUGUAUGGGGACUGCCCGAUAGAGGGGGAUCACUACUGGAAAAGGUGGCUAAUACCGCAUACUAUCGGAUAACCCAUAUGGGAUUAGCUAGUAGGUGGGGUAAAGGCUCACCUAGGCGACGAUCCCUAGCUGGUCUGAGAGGAUGAACAGCCACCCUGGGACUGAGACACGGCCCAGACCCCUACGGAGGCAGCAGGGGGGAAUAUUGAACAAUGGGCGCAAGCCUGAGGCAGCCAUGCCGCGUGUAUGAAGAAGGCCUUGGGGUUGUAAAGUACUUUCAGCGGGGAGGCGUUACCCCAAGAAGAAGCACCGGCUAACUCCGUGCCAGCAGCGGGGGUAAUU
rnacentral:rRNA from 1 species